rnacentral:rRNA from 1 species
UACGGGGGGGGCAAGCGUUGUUCGGAAUUACUGGGCGUAAAGGGCUCGUAGGCGGCCAACUAAGUCGGACGUGAAAUCCCCAGGCUCAACCUGGGAACUGCGUCCGAUACUGGAUGGCUUGAAUUCGGGAGAGGGAUGCGGAAUUCCGGGUGUAGCGGUGAAAUGCGUAGAUAUCUGGAGGAACACCGGUGGCGAAGGCGGCAUCCUGGACCGGCAUUGACGCUGAGGCGCGAAAGCUAGGGGAGCAAACGGG